rnacentral:misc_RNA from 1 species
AUAGUUGUGUAUCUUAGUUUUACUGUCUGAUACUCGGACUCGCCAUUCUCCCUUGCCACACCCGUGUUGACACGACACGACACUACACUGGAUAAGACACGGAAUGUGUCCGAUACACAUCCAUGAAAUUCAAUACGCAGGCGUAAAUGAUUCCUUGGGAAAUUGGACUGUGUUUUGCUUGUCUCUGUUUCAUAGGGGUUACGUGGCAGGUAUACACUAGGGUUCACAUGUGGACAAAACUCUGCAUAUUCUUUCUCUAUUUUUAAAUGGGUCAAGAUACUUUCAC